CUCAGUCCUACUGCGCGGCCGGUCGGAGGCGCGCAUCGCCCGCAGUAGGAAGGGUGGAGACGGGCUACGACAGAAGCUCGCUCGAGGUGCUGUCUCCGACCGCAGCAGCGUCGCCUGUGCCAUGAACAAGCCUGGGCCAGGGAUAGUGCGAGUGCUGUUGGUGGCGGCCAUCGUUUUGUCCACCUUCACCUUGGUUUCCCACCGUUGGCACACCUUGGACUACCGGACGUUGGUCUCAGCCUUGCCGUCGAUGGUGUCGGCGCCCGCCGCCGUGCC